rnacentral:rRNA from 1 species
CCUACGGGAGGCAGCAGUGAGGAAUAUUGGUCAAUGGACGAGAGUCUGAACCAGCCAAGUAGCGUGAAGGAUGACUGCCCUAUGGGUUGUAAACUUCUUUUAUAUGGGAAUAAAAUGUUCCACGUGUGGGUUUUUGUAUGUACCAUAUGAAUAAGGAUCGGCUAACUCCGUGCCAGCAGCCGCGGUAAUACGGAGGAUCCGAGCGUUAUCCGGAUUUAUUGGGUUUAAAGGGAGCGUAGGUGGAUUGUUAAGUCAGUUGUGAAAGUUUGCGGCUCAACCGUAAAAUUGCAGUUGAGACUGGCAGUCUUGAGUACAGUAGAGGUGGGCGGAAUUCGUGGUGUAGCGGUGAAAUGCUUAGAUAUCACGAAGAACUCCGAUUGCGAAGGCAGCUCACUGGACUGCAACUGACACUGAGGCUCGAAAGUGUGGGUAUCAAACAGGAUUAGAUACCCGAGUAGUC